rnacentral:piRNA from 1 species
GCUAAGAAGACUGCUCUCUAAUCACCAAAC